GACGAACCGUGCGAACGUUGUUCGGAAUCACUGGGCUUAAAGGGCGCGUAGGCGGGUGAUCAAGUCUAGAGUGAAAUCCUCCAGCUUAACUGGAGAACAGCUUUGGAUACUGGUCAUCUCGAGGGAGGUAGGGGCGUGUGGAACUGUAGGUGGAGCGGUGAAAUGCGUAGAUAUCUACAGGAACUCCGGUGGCGAAGGCGACACGCUGGACCUUUUCUGACGCUGAGGCGCGAAAGCCAGGGGAGCAAACAGG
rnacentral:rRNA from 1 species